UUCCCUCUUCUCAGUUUAUCAGUGGGAUUUUGCCUUAAGGGGCCAUUCAGAUGGGGCAACACAAGUGUCCUUUGAAAACUCAAGUAAACUGGUGUUUGUCUUAUAUCCAGUCAGAGGAAACAACG